UCAGUCAGCGCUGAGAAUAAUAGAAACUAACCAGGAUUCCCUUAGUAACGGCGAGUGAACUGGGAUACCAAUAUACCAUCUGUGCGUACUUCGGUGCGUACAAAUUUUAGCCCGUCGAUACUAUCCUAGCAUAGUACUGGCCUCGGCCGGUAACCUAUCUAUGCGGGAAUUGUAGCAUCGUACAACAAAUAUAUUAUACAAUGUAUAUACGCGCAUUGCAACACACACACUUAUAUACUGCGUACACUUACUUUAAACACACAGCGCUCCCGCGUUGGAAAGCAAGUUUAUAUCCUUUUUGGGUAUGCCAUAGAGUGUGACAGCCACGUUUCAACUCUACGUACGCACUGCAUAUGCGUUAUACACACACGUAUUUUAUAUAACCUGAGUCGAGUUAUUUGGGACUAUAGCUCUAAUAGUUUGGUUGGUGGUAAUGACACAUCAAAGGCUAAAUAUUGGUUAGUCGAUGCAUAUUGCGGAGACCGAUAGCAUACAAGUACCGUAAGGGAACGAUGAAAAGCACCCUAUUGAAUUCACGGCGCAGACUGUCUUUGCAAUUCGUUGCGAGACGUCUUGCGCCCAACAACUACAGUGGGAGUGAAAGAGAGAGU
rnacentral:rRNA from 1 species